rnacentral:tRNA from 1 species
GGGGGUGUCCGUUAAUUGGCUAAACGAGCGGUCUCCAAAACCGCCCCUCCAGGUUCGAAUCCUGGCGCCCCCGCCA